UCCUGCUUUUUUUUAUGAUUUUUUGGUUCAUCGGCAGUUUUCCUUCAAGCAAUUAUCUUCAUCUCUCGAAGAAUCACCAUCUUCUCUCUUUUUAUUAGGCUACAGCAGGUUGGUUUCUUUUCUCCCCUCUUUCUGCUUCUUUUUCAUCUAUUUGGUUCAGUUGCCCCCAUGUCUUUAAUGGUGAAUUCUAGUGAAAAUCAUUCUUCUGAAUCACCUCCUUCUUCUUCUAGGGAUAUUUUCGUUAGUGAAGGCGAGGAA
rnacentral:lncRNA from 1 species